GAUCUCCCAGGCUGCACCACCCCGGGCUGCACCACGUAGCCUUCCCACCCGGGCCAUGGGCAUGACGGAGCAGGGCCCUGCAGGCUGCCAUCAGCUCCGUAGGCCUCUGAAAAGCCAUGCCCUGCUCAUACCGCUUGCACCCCCAGGCACCUUACCCCAGCCUGGCUGCUGCACCCUCCACAUACCUUCUGGAACGAUCCCCCCGGGCCUGCCCGGCACCCCCUGGAGGGGUCUUCCAGCAGAUGCCUGAUCCUCCCCUCCGAAGGGGUGGCCACCGGGGCCUGCUUCUCCUCAGCAUGACAGGAGGCUGAACUGCUCGGCUGCAGCCUCUGUGACGCCUCCAUUUCGGGGCUGCAGCCUCUCUCGAGGGCUGGGCAGGAAGAGCAGACAGUUAAGACUUAUGAAGAUGGGACACUUAAAGAUGCGCCUGGAAAUAAGUAGUUCCUUCAAGGAGUCAACCAACUAAUUUGUAAAGCAUGUCAUAGAAGGUCUUCCCAGCCCAUUGAAGACUUGAAAGAAUGGAGAUCUGUCAGGACUUGAAGAAAUCUGUUCCUCAAGAACACAGAAACAGCUGUUGGGUUGAUUGUGGAGAAACAACUGUCCUUCCUCACUGCCUGUGUAUCCUGGGCAUCUGCAGGAAAGAACAAAUAACAGGCAAGACACUGAACAGCUUUCAAUAAUUCUGGAGCCAAGUGGAGACAGAUAGCUGAAACAUGGAGAUACCUGGAAAUAAGAAGAGGACAGUCAAGCUGUACUUCUUC